GCUUGAAAAAUGGAUUUUUGUCAAAUUACAGUGAACAAGUUAUUGUGAGAUAGUCUGAUUACUUUGGAGCCGCCAGAUUGUGUAUGAAAUCCUGAACAAAGUAUUUCAACAACUUUUUCAUGAACCACAGAAACUUUACCUUUUUAAAUUGUAGGACCAGACAUUGUGAGAAAGUUCGAUUGCAUUCACUGCCAGAGCUAAAGCUAGAAAAGAAACUAAACAACUUCUUCUCAUGAUCUGCUUAAUUGAUCUUCACAUUGAAUUGUCAACCUGUAUGCUACAUUGUAUAAUGACGUUGAGCAAAUAAAGAUACUGCAGUUAGCGUUACAACCUUCAUUAAACAGAAUGAAUUGGUGUUACAGAAAUGGAUAACAUAUGGAGACAAACACUUUCAGGCUACAGAAACUACACUAUGAGACUAUGAGAAUGGCUUAUUUUCAUGAUGGAACUCAUACCACAAAGAAAGAACUUGCUUUAUCUUGUUUCUUAUAACUAGUCCUCAAAGACAUACCCAAGUAAACUACAACAGGAAUGAAAGCAAACAAAGUUGAUUCAGGAUUUAGAAUUGAAUGUUUUUGUGUCAACAGUGUGUGAAAACUGCGGAAAAUAGGAUUUUAAUUUCAAGGAUUUGAUUUAGUAUGUCAAGGAGUGAUUUGUUUAUAAUUCAUCACACAAAUUAUUGACAAUGCUCUAAAAUAUAAAUAUGAUGUGUAAAUACAGACUUUCAUACCUAACUAAAAUAAUGUUGAACUCAGCAGAAUAAACAAACUACCAUCUGUUGUAUAAUAUAUUAGUUGAUUUAUCAAACUUUGUCAGUUUUGUUACAUUACUUAUCAUUGAUAGAAUCUAUUAUCUAAUAACUCUUUACAGUGUGUCAAGUACUCAUCAUUAUAAGCUAUUUUGAAAUAAUUACAGGACUGAUAUUUUA
rnacentral:lncRNA from 1 species